CUACAACUAUUUAAAGCUCACAUGAACAAAUGUAACGUUGGAUUGGCUGACAUGGACUGCAGGGGAGAUGGGCCGCAUGUCCGUAGACGUCAACGUUUAUACCUAUCACGAAGACAUGGGAACAGGACACCAACAGUCCCUGGAUACGUUGAACC